rnacentral:rRNA from 1 species
UACGAAGGGGGCUAGCGUUGCUCGGAAUCACUGGGCGUAAAGCGCACGUAGGCGGAUUGCUAAGUCAGGGGUGAAAUCCUGGAGCUCAACUCCAGAACUGCCUUUGAUACUGGCGAUCUUGAGUCCGGGAGAGGUGAGUGGAACUGCGGGUGUAGAGGUGAAAUUCGUAGAUAUUCGCAAGAACACCAGUGGCGAAGGCGGCUCACUGGCCCGGUACUGACGCUGAGGUGCGAAAGCGUGGGGAGCAAACAGG